rnacentral:lncRNA from 1 species
GGCAUGUCAUUGGUUUAUCGACGCUUUAUCCGAUUAUUCAGCGCAUCGUUCUCUCUUGCGACCUAUUGCUCAAUCGGUCAGUUGAUCUCCACAACUCUAAUAUCCUUGGCGUAAUUUCUGCUCUUCUUGGCACAUUGCUCGAACCCAUGGCCUGAAGCCUUCUGUUGAUACGUCGACUGAUCCUUCGGCUCAACGUCCAAUCUUCUGAC